UGACUAUUGAAAUGAUUUCAGAAUCAACUUGAAAAGGAGUGUGACCUGCUGAAGKCUCAGCUUAAUGAGAAUGCAAGUAUUGCUAAUGAUUUAGAAAAGGAAAAAUCGUCCUACCAAGAAUUGAAACAAAAACAUCAACAACUACAAAACCACUACCAAAGUGCACUAAGCAGUGAACAGCAGCUUGUGACAUCAAAUGAAAGGUUAAAAAGCUCYAUAGAAUUAUUGAAUAACGAACUAGGUAUAGCAAGAUCAGACAUUCAAAAAMUACAAGAUGAGCAUGCCAAUACACUUGAACAGCAAAG